rnacentral:lncRNA from 1 species
GGUACCGCAUUUUUUUUUUAUUUUUGAGUUAAAGAAAGUUGUGGGGCCAGUACGUUGGCAUUCAUUUUUUUUUCCUGUUAUCACUAGGAUUGGCCUCUGCAGUCUGCACAUGCAUGUGUGGCACUGUGGCAUGAGUCGUUUAUGUCUCCCCCCCUUUUUUAUUGCGCCCAUGCCAGAAAUUCACAUAUUUUUUUCCCAACAGUACAUAGGGAUAUAUACACAUGGCUGGCUUGGCUAAUAUUCAUAUCAACAACAAGAAAUGGU